rnacentral:tRNA from 1 species
GGGAAUUAGCUCAGCUGGUAGAGCAUCUGCUUUGCAAGCAGAGGGUCAGGGGUUCGAGUCCCCUAUUCUCC